CACAGCGCUCGGCGUGCUUGGACAGCAUGUUGCUCGCACUGAGAGCAGCUACCCCCAAUUGCUGGAGACACGUCUCUAGAAAACUCCUCAGCUCUUGGGGCAGGCGUUGUUUUAGUGAUUAGAUCCAAAAGCUCUCCUAAGUGAUGGUGAGCAUUUCCUCUGUUGCUACCUGAUCACAGGGCCACUAAAUUUAAAGAAGCAAAGAAAAGCGAGGAUGUGCUGGCAGGACGGUCCCAGCUGUUUAUCCUGGGGAGGUGAGUGGCACUUUUAUUUGGAGCGGGAAUGCAAGAACUCCAGUUUCACCACACAGGCUGGGGAAGCACAGAGAGGAGAGGAAAACUUGUGCUAGCUUCCUUCUUCAUUUUAUUGACAGUGUCUUCAAAGACUCACCCUCUCUCCCCCUCCCUGCAAGUUAUAUUUGGUUUUAAGCUCUCUUGGCUGCUGCAUUGAUAGCUCCUUACCAUUUCCACUGCAAUUAAUCAGAGCAGGCUUGAUUAUGCUUUUGUCUCUAAUUGUGUGAAUCAAAAUCCUUCUGUCUAAAGUGAAGAGACCUCCGCUGUCCUGGCACCAUGCCACCUGCUCCAUCCCCCCCAGUGCAACCAGGCAUGGCCAGGCGAGCUGGGGGAUCACAGUGCCUGCUCUGAAAUCACGCAAAGUCGGAACAGAGACGAAGGACUGAGCCCAGCAUCGCAGCUUUGGUGUAAGGAGGAGAACGAAGCCACCACUUCAGCCCUUCUCUCAUCUGUUUGCGUGCUGCUGCGUAAGAGCGACGUCAGAGCGACUGGGAGGGCUCUGCCCUGCUUGCUGUGGGGCAGAGUGAGCUUCAGCAGUUACAGUACACAUAAUAACUGCUUUUUCAAAAACCAGCCAGGGUAGCGCUCAUGCAAGCUGAACUGACGAGGAAGAGUCACUUUGGAUAGAAAAUGAAUGCUCACAGCAAUGAACUGGAAGUCCCAAGGAGCUCUAUUUCUGACCAAUUGUUUCUAACAACCUGCUUUUUGCUUCCAUCCCAAUUUUACAAAGAGGGACAGGCAUGAAAGUUUGGAGAGAAAUCGUGACUACUUUGGUUCUUGCCAUGGGCUGCCUGGGUCACCCUGAUCCUGCCAGGGUCUCACUGUGAUUGUUUUUGGAGAGUGAGAACACAGGAAUAGCUGAUAGGAUGUGUGACAGCUUCCAUGUGUUAUAUGAAGUUAACCAGAAGACUUAACUGUAUUACAGGAGUUCCCAGUAUGACAAAGCUAUUGAUACUGGCUUUACUGUCUCUUCAGUGCUUGCUCUUUUCCCAGACACUUCACAGUCUGUGAAGCAGAGGAGAAGAUGCUUACCAUUCUAGAAUAAGGCCUUCCUUUGAAUCUCAAAGCUCUUUAAAAAUACUUAUUUAAACCCAGCACUCAGAUGGGAGUGACUGCUUCACAGUCUGAGGUGUAGAGGUGUUAAAGCUAUUUGCCCAGUCUUAAACAGAAGAACCGAACUGGGAGCAGAACUGAGUUGCAGUUAUUCAUGUGCCACUCUAACCACUUGUCCGGAAUUCCUCCUUGUUAUUUACCAGCAGAUGAUAAUUUAUACUAUUGCCUCUCAGAAUGAAUAGCAAGUGCAAUAUUGCUCUCCAAAGCUGCCCAGAUGAGAAAUUUUCCAGUAAACAUACAUGCCGUCUAAAACUACAGAUAAUAUUUCUGAAGGACGUACUAUGCGACCUUUUUCUUCCACCCGCAUAACACUAGGCUGUUCUGGUUUGAAACCGGAUUGAUUAGUUGCAACUCCAAUUCAGCUUGCAGAGUGUAACAUUUGAAUUUGCUGUAUCUUUGGUUGGCAGAUCACAUCCUUAAUAUACUCUUACUUGUUAAGCGAUAGCUCUAUAGGCAGAGAUGGAAGUAGCUGGCAAGACCACAUUUCCUUUGCUCCUACAGGAGAAGAUGACAGUCUGUUUUAUCCUCGCUCUCAAAAAUAUCAGAAUACACACGUUUGAAGCCAAUCUCCCAAAACUCUGAUCUGUCAGUGGGGACGCUUUUGCUGUGCGCAGUCUUGUGGAGAUAAACAUGGCUCCAUUCAGAGACAGUUUCUUUUGAACAAUUUUAAGAGUCCUGCUUGAGGUGCUGAAGGUGCAAAGAAAUAGGAAAAAGAUAUCAAGAAACCAAGCUGAACCACGUUGAACUGUGGCUGGAGUUGUUGAACCUCUUUAAAGUGCCAUUUAACACUCCAAAAGUCUCAGGCGGGGCGAAGAUCACAGGAAGCAAGCAGUGUGUUUUGGUGGAGGCAGCCUCUGAGUUCCCAUUGGGUGCAUCACUGCACAUUGAGCUGGAAAAAACUUCUGCAGCAGGAGCUCCAUAUCAUGUUAGUGGCAGCUUUGUAACAAGAGGAAAAUUAUUUCCUCUGGUACUUACUGUUGAACUAGAUUGAUCAUGUUGCCUUCUCUCUGCAAGCAUUUGGAUGUCUUAAGUCUGCAGACUGCAAAGAGAUUUCACUGUAACUGGGCGGUAACUAAUGUCUAUCUAUAGCAUUGCCUUUGUCACCUAAGGCUUUAAGUCAUACAGUUUACUAACUAAUUGUACCAAGUAAGUUUUUUUUUUUUUUUUAACACAAUGUGUAUUUACAGUCUAAAAUACUAGAAUAUAUAAAACCUUAAAAUAUGUUAUGUUUAACUCCUAAAUCACAUAAAUCAUAUGAUUUUACAGAGUUGUGUAUAUUUUUUGCAUCCACUUUAGCCUCAUACAGUAUCUCCAACUGUUUACAUAUGUUAAAAUCUCUUGCAUUUAAAUAGCUCAUUAUGCAAAUAUUUACAAAAUACAUGGAUAUUUAUUUUUGCUGUACCCUGUAUUCAAUCACUGAGCUGAGAUUUAAUGUCUAAACAUUGUUUGCAGUGUUGCAUGUGUAGAAAUGAAUUAUAAGUAAUUAUGUACUAUAUACAAUUAUACAGGAAAAAUUACAGAUUCAAAAAAUAUUGAAGUUGCAAAGCCAAAUACUCAAAUUUAUGGAAUGCCAUAGUUAAGAUGCAGCCCUCAUAUAUAUGUGCCUUAUAACACAGUCUUAACUAUUCAAAUUCUGUUUUUCUCCCAACAGCCUUCAGCUAAGAGGUAAGUGUGAAUGUGUUACAGGCCAAGGCAAUAGUCUCAGGCCAAGCGUUGGGAUCAGACCAAAGCUAAAUUUGCAGUGUUUCUCAGACAGGAACAUUUUCCUGGAGCUGAUCACCUAAGCAACUUAGCUUAAUAUUUCUAAUUUUCCCAUCCCCAUUGUAAGAACUUGCAACAAGAGAACAGCCUGCAUUAAUUUACCUCUCAGUCUAGCCAUACACAGAGCAGGACUAAUUUUGCAUUUGAGACAUUUGAAAGAGCAGUGUGUUCUCAUAUAAUCAAAGACUGAAUCUGAAGUACAUUUUAUUGAAAGGUUUUUGACCAGAAAAUCUUCCACCAGGAAAAGCUUCUUUGUCAACAUGGAAAUGUUUUGUGGAAACAUUUAGUUUGUGAUGAUAUUUUUGACAGAAAAAAAGUGUAAGCAAGUCAAAAGAAGAAAUUAUUUCUCACUAACAGUUGUGUCAAUGUAAGCCUGCUUUCUUUUCAUUCGGUUUCAGAGCAUAUAUUAUUUAUAUUUACUAUUCAGCUGUUAAAUAUUACCAUAUAACCAGCAGAAUAAUCUUGAAAUGUUUCAGCACUGUUAAUGCUGACAUUGUGUAAUUUGAUUAUUAGAAGAACGUUCUUCUAACAGCCUUUGUGUGCUCACAGUACUUAUAUUUCCUACAUUUCAAGAAAGUAAAGAAUGCCUAGCAAUUUAAUUUAAGCAGAGAUUAAAACUAUGAGGAUGACACACCAUGUUUAAAAAAAAAAAAAAAAAAGCCCAAAUGGUCUUUGCCCAAAUUAUAAGCAGCCAGAACAAAUUUGCGUGUUAGUCUGAGCAGUCUUAAUAAUAGAUGGCAUCCUCAGUUCCAUCUAUUACAUUGCAAACAAUUUGUCCUUGGAAGUUUUCUCCCUGAAAACAGUAACUGUAAUUCAUUUUUUAAAAUAAUACAAUUUAUAGAGAAUUU